CUUGCUUGCCAAAAACCUUAGACUUCACUUGACUUGACACAUUCCAAUCCGCGUCACUUGUUGGUGUUUAAGCGGCGAGCUAAACAUCAACAGCGAUGGGAGCAACUCUCACGAUCAUUAAUUUGAAUACAUUGAUGCUCUUUUCGAUGCUGGUAAAAUAAAAUGGCAAACCACGUUGUUUGGCAACGUUGACUUUAAUUAAUUACAAAACCCUCUACAAGUCAGUUCAUCAAGGGCACUGGCAAGGAAUGGGAUUCUGGAGACCUGAGAGAAGCAUUUUAAAAACGGUACACGCGAGCUACGAUAACACGCUGCAGGAGUGCGUCCCAUGCCUCCACGCCGAUGAAGCCCCAUCUUGUUCAGCGGAGAUGUCGGCACCGUUGGAUAGUCUGCGUUUGUGCGGGUGGAUGGAUGGCUUGUGGAGCCAACGAUGAAGAGAGAGGAGCGUCGGCGCGGAGUGCGGCUGCGUAUUCGGAACUGGCAGUCGCCGCUUGGAAUUGAAGCGGAUUUUCAUGGGACAGGAAAAGUGAGCCAAUCUCUUUUUUUCGCCAAUGGACGCGACAGCUUCUUGUUUGCUUUCAAACAUAGCUUGUAGCAGACCCUUGCACAUUUUGAACAUGACCUCUCUGAUCCGCUCGUGAAAGGACACUUUGAUUCUCUUUCAUCUUCCACUGCUUUACACAACAAAGCGUAUGCAGGAAAAGUGAUUAAGAUCGCAUGGCUGUCUGUGUCUUAUGCGUUGUGUUAUAUUCUUUAGUUAUUUUAUGUUAACUGUUCUGUUUUGCGCUUUGUUACAGUUUCAGGUUAAAAUUAAAUUCAAGGCCAAGGUUAUCUUUAUUGUCAAAUAUGCUUUAUGUAUGACAUGCUGCAUAGAUGAAAUUUCUUCCUCUCAAUCCUCCUCAGUGCAAACAUGCUGUGCAUUACACACACAGCUAAGACAAGAUAGCAGCUAAUGUAAUGCAAUGGCAACAGUAUAAACUGUAUAGACAAUAUAAACAACAUAAACAAUCAAGUAUCAAGUACAACUUUAUUAAUUAAUUGACAGGUUAAAAUAAUAAUCUGUUUGACAGAGAAGCAGACCAUAGAAUUGGCCAACAUUUGUUGGUAAGAUGAAUCAAGAAGGAAGCCUGCUAAUUGUUUCUAGAGUUACCAUUCCUAUUUGACCGAUUCAUUCAUUAAGACGUCUGUUUUGUAGCGUCUUAUCGCUCCGAUGUGCUGUUCACCAACAAAAGGACAUCUUUGGUGGUUGCAUCAUCACCUUGGCAGCCCCUCUACUCAAGCUUUGCUCUAUCUUUAAAACGCUAAGCCCAGAAACUCAUUUCAGCCUUGUUCCUAUCUGCCGCCGCCAUCUUUUCCUCCACCAUCCAAAGCUUUGUUAUCAUAGCUAAGGGAAUCCGGUGGGGAAUUGAGAGCCACCCCUUCAGACUCACUCGCACACUCUUCCAUUUUACAUCGACACUCAAUGAAGAUCUGGAUGGACAGCAAUCCCCAUUCCAGCGGCUGGCAACAGGGUCGCUGCAUCUGAGCCACAAGCCCACGAAGCAAGACAAACAGGAGCAGGAGGGACGUUAGCCAAAUCCACACGGGAUCACUAGUCUCUGGAUGUGAUCCGCCAGACUGAUUCUGUGUCACCCGUCAAUUAGCCCACCUCCCUUCCCAUAAAUCCACUCAUUGACAAGAGCCGCAUCGUGCACUCCCUUGGCUCCGCUUCCUCCCUUUCACUUCGCACCUGCUCACUUGCGAGUGUGUCCUAGAGAGGUUAGCAAAACUGGGAAUCGUAGGAAUCGGGGGCCCAAAGAGUUUACGGACCGAUCCAAUGAGAUCUUCUCAUCAACGCGCUGGAAUACGUUUAAAGGAGCCAGAUAGUCUUUAACUCAUUCAAAGGUCACCUCCAUGCUGAUCCUGUUUUGAGUUGUCGUUCCUCCUUUUGUGCACAGAACAGGAGUCACCCAUGUCUGUUGGAGUUCACAAGAUGCUCAUCAGAAGAUGCCCCUUGGGAUGUGCUUGUGCUCGUCUGCAACUAGACGUGCGACGAGUAAUUGAUUAAUCAACCACAAAUCGAUGAUCAAAUUCAUCGACUAACCUCUAAUUGUCCACAUCCUCCAAUUUCAACCUCUGGCUGUAAAUAUUUCCAUUUUUCUGUUGGUCUCCAUGAAAGAUGGUUUAAUAUGACCUUUGUGUUGAAUCAAAAUUAGACAUUUGCAAACAUCCGGAUAGUGAUUUGCAAAAAGCGAUAAUUUUUUUUCGAUUAACUGACAUGUUAAAGACUAGUUACUGAAACAUAAUCUAUCUAUGGAA